CACAAAAAGGAGAGGUUUGUUUGAGGAAAGUCAAGUUGUACUAACUGGCUUUCACUGGGAAGAUGAAAGGAAUGACUGGACUUCCUGUUACUCUCUUGUUGUUAUGAACUGCACUGUGAAUGACAGAACUACAACAUGGAGAUGGACUAUUUAUAGUCUAUUGCGUUGAGAGUCAAUCUAAAGACCUGUUUUCCCAGGAAAAUUCCAAAUAUAACCAAGUUACAAUUCAGCACCCAGAAACUGUGUCUCUCAAGGGAACAGUCAACUGACAGCAGGAGGAACAGACAAUUCUCCAAUCAGUUGAGGACUCUCCAUGAAGACUGUAGCCCACUCACAAGAAUAAAAUCCCCCACAUUUGAAGUUACAAUAAUUUUUUUAAUAAAAAGUCAUCGACCUCAGACUGACAGGAAUGCAGAAGUUACACAGGCUCCUGUGCUGAAUAUGAAGAGACUUGGGCCCUAGAUCAGAGGAUGGAAUUUACAGCUAAAGUGCUUUUCAGCUAACAAGUUGCAGACGCUCCAUGAUGCUGACUUGAUUUCCCUGGGCAGAUGACCUCAUCAAUGUGUCCUGGAACCCCAUCUCCCCAGAGCCUUGCCCUAUUAGGGAAAGAUAAAAACAGGCUGGAGGUAUGGGUCGACCUGUCAAUGCCCAUGUCCAGUGGAGAAGCAAUUGCAGAAGUCAGACCUCCCACCUUCUGCACCCCAUAAAGAUCUUUGGUCCAUACUCCCAGAGGGAUGAAGAACAGGGACCCUUCAGUUGAGGGGAGGGUAUAUGGAAUUCUGGUGUUGGGAACUGCAUGGAAUUGUACUCCUCUUAUCC